GCAGUGUGGUUAAAGCGCUCGGCUGCUAACCAAGCGGAUGGUGGUUCAAAUCCACC
rnacentral:tRNA from 1 species